rnacentral:rRNA from 1 species
UGGGAAGGUUCCUUCUCAGUAACGUAGCUAACGCGUGAAGUUGACCGCCUGGGGAGUACGGCCGCAAGGUUGAAACUCAAAGGAAUUGAACGGGGACCCGCACAAGCGGUGGAUGAUGUGGUUUAAUUCGAUGCAACGCGAAAAACCUUACCUACCCUUGACAUGCCUGGAAUCUUGCAGAGAUGUGAGAGUGCUCGAAAGAGAGCCCAGGACACAGGUGCUGCAUGGCCGUCGUCAGCUCGUGUCGUGAGAUGUUGGGUUAAGUCCCGCAACGAGCGCAACCCUUGUCAUUAGUUGCUACGAAAGGGCACUCUAAUGAGACUGCCGGUGACAAACCGGAGGAAGGUGGGGAUGACGUCAGGUCCUCAUGGCCCUUAUGGGUAGGGCUACACACGUCAUACAAUGGCCGGUACAGAGGGCUGCCAACCCGCGAGGGGGAGCCAAUCCCAGAAAACCGGUCGUAGUCCGGAUCGCAGUCUGCAACUCGACUGCGUGAAGUCGGAAUCGCUAGUAAUCGCGGAUCAGCUUGCCGCGGUGAAUACGUUCCCGGGUCUUGUACACACCGCCCGUCACANCCAUGGGAGCGGGUUCUGCCAGAAGUAGUUAGCCUAACCGNCAAGGGGGGCGAUUACCACGGNCAGGGUUCGUGACUGGGGUGAAGUCGUAACAAGGUACC